UGGGGAAUAUUGGACAAUGGGGGGAACCCUGAUCCAGCCAUGCCGCGUGUGUGAAGAAGGCCUUAUGGUUGUAAAGCACUUUAAGCGAGGAGGAGGGUACUGGUAUUAAUACUACCAGGUACUGGACGUUACUCGCAGAAUAAGCACCGGCUAACUCUGUGCCAGCAGCCGCGGUAAUACAGAGGGUGCGAGCGUUAAUCGGAUUUACUGGGCGUAAAGCGUGCGUAGGCGGCUAAUUGAGUCGGAUGUGAAAUCCCCGAGCUUAACUUGGGAAUUGCAUUCGAUACUGGUUAGCUAGAGUGUGGGAGAGGAUGGUAGAAUUCCAGGUGUAGCGGUGGAAUGCGUAGAGAUCUGGAGGAAUACCGAUGGCGAAGGCAGCCAUCUGGCCUAACACUGACGCUGAGGUACGAAAGCAUGGGGAGCAAACAGG
rnacentral:rRNA from 1 species